CCUACGGGGUGCAGCAGUGGGGAAUAUUGGACAAUGGGCGAAAGCCUGAUCCAGCCAUGCCGCGUGUGUGAAGAAGGCCUUCGGGUUGUAAAGCACUUUCAGUGGGGAAGAAAGCCUUGGGGCUAAUACCCUCGAGGAAGGACAUCACCCACAGAAGAAGCACCGGCUAACUCCGUGCCAGCAGCCGCGGUAAUACGGAGGGUGCGAGCGUUAAUCGGAAUUACUGGGCGUAAAGCGCGCGUAGGCGGUCUGAUAAGCCGGUUGUGAAAGCCCCGGGCGCAACCUGGGAACGGCAUCCGGAACUGUCAGGCUAGAGUGCAGGAGAGGAAGGUAGAAUUCCCGGUGUAGCGGUGAAAUGCGUAGAGAUCGGGAGGAAUACCAGUGGCGAAGGCGGCCUUCUGGACUGACACUGACGCUGAGGUGCGAAAGCGUGGGUAGCAAACAGGAUUAGAUACCCCGGUAGUC
rnacentral:rRNA from 1 species